UGCAACAAAGGCUUUCCUGGAAGGACUG
rnacentral:piRNA from 1 species